GACGAACGCUGGCGGCGUGCUUAACACAUGCGAGUCGAACGGAAAGGCAGUGCUUUUGUGGGGUGCUCGAGUGGCGAACGGGUGAGUAACAGGUGAGUAACCUGCCCUUGACUUUGGGAUAACUUCAGGAAACUGGGGCUAAUACCGGAUAGGAGAUCCUGCUGCAUGGUGGGGGUUGGAAAGUUUCGGCGGUUGGGGAUGGACUCGCGGCUUAUGAGCUUGUUGGUGGGGUAGUGGCUGACCAAGGCUUUGACGGGUAGCCGGCCUGAGAGGGUGACCGGCCACAUUGGGACUGAGAUACGGCCCAGACUCCUACGGGAGGCAGCAGUGGGGAAUAUUGCACAAUGGGCGGAAGCCUGAUGCAGCAACGCCGCGUGCGGGAUGACGGCCUUCGGGUUGUAAACCGCUUUCGCCUGUGACGAAGCGUGAGUGACGGUAAUGGGUAAAGAAGCACCGGCUAACUACGUG
rnacentral:rRNA from 1 species